ensembl:lncRNA
CUUAGACUAAACUUUGUCCAGGGUUGCACAACUAGCAAAGAUACAGUCUGUUUCCAAAAAUGGUUCCCAGGCACAGAGCCAGGCACUGUUAGGAAAAGCUUUCUGAAGAAGUGAUAAAUCUGAGACCUGAUGGACAAGCAGGGAAAGAGUGGCCAGAACCCAGAUUUAUAUCCUUAUAUUCACCUUCCAAAGAACUCACGAAGAAUAAAGUUGCUUGAGGUAGGGAAGCAACCACUUCAACAAUCUCCUCCCACCUCAACUCUGCCUCUAGGUGUGUGCUCCUUCUCCUCCCUCACCAACCUAGCUAUCUCAAGGUUUACCUCCCCAGAGGGGUUUUGGAAGGCAAGAUGACAGGACGACGAAAGGAGAGGGACAAGGCGAGCUUAGAACUGGGAGGAAGUGUGACUUAAGUCUAUGCUACGUGUAAGAACUCUCAAAGCCUUUAGGAACGACCCCUCAGAAUCAAGAAGCUGAUCUGUCGGCCACCAAAUCAACAGCGGAUGAAUUCAAGCAGGAAAGUCUUGGACUGGUGGAGGAAGGUGUGGGCCGGCUUAGCCACCUGAGUGUGCAAAUUUAGGGUCCCACUUCAGCGCUGACAGGGGAUGCCUGGCUUCCCGGAGCAGGGGUUGCCUUCUCUCCAAGACAUCUCCAAAUAUCUUUGGAGGGUAGCGGUACUGGAG